GAUGAACGCUGGCGGCGUGCCUAAUACAUGCAAGUCGAGCGAACAGACGAUGAGCUUGCUCCUCUGACGUUAGCGGCGGACGGGUGAGUAACACGUGGAUAACCUACCUAUAAUACUGGGAUAACUUCGGGAAACCGGAGCUAAUACCGGAUAAUAUAUUGAACCGCAUGGUUCAAUAGUGAAAGACGGUUUUGCUGUCACUUAUAGAUGGAUCCGCGCCGCAUUAGCUAGUUGGUAAGGUAACGGCUUACCAAGGCGACGAUGCGUAGCCGACCUGAGAGGGUGAUCGGCCACACUGGAACUGAGACACGGUCCAGACUCCUACGGGAGGCAGCAGUAGGGAAUAUUGCGCAAUGGGCGAAAGCCUGACGGAGCAAUGCCGCGUGAGUGAUGAAGGUCUUCGGAUCGUAAAACUCUGUUAUUAGGGAAGAAAAAAUGUGUAAGUAACUAUGCACGUCUUGACGGUACCUAAUCAGAAAGCCACGGCUAACUACGUG
rnacentral:rRNA from 1 species